rnacentral:sRNA from 1 species
UAAUAUUGACAAGUAGCGGUCAGUGCUGC